UCCGGUUGAUCCUGCCGGAAGCUACUGCUAUCGGGGUCCGACUAAGCCAUGCGAGUUGAGAGGGGUAAGCCCUCGGCAUAUUGCUCAGUAACACGCGGAUAACCUGCCCUUGGGUUCGGGAUAACCCCGGGAAACUGGGACUAAUACCGGAUAGAUCAAAGAAACUGGAAUGUUCUCUGGUUAAAAACUCCGGUGCCCAAGGAUGGGUCUGCGGCCUAUCAGGUAGUAGUGGGUGUAACGUACCUACUAGCCUACGACGGGUAAGGGUUGUGAGAGCAAGAGCCCUGAGAUGGAUUCUGAGACAUGAAUCCAGGCCCUACGGGGUGCAGCAGGCGCGAAAACUUUACACUGCGGGAAACCGCGAUAAGGGGACCCCGAGUGCCAGCACCUAGUGCUGGCUGUCCAGCUGUCCAAAUAACAGUUGUUAGCAAGGGCCGGGCAAGACCGGUGCCAGCCGCCGCGGUAACACCGGCGGCCCGAGUGGUAGCCGUUAUUAUUGGGUUUAAAGGGUCCGUAGCCGGCCUAUUAAGUCUCUUGGGAAAUCUGGCGACUCGAUCGUCAGUCGUCCAAGAGAUACUGGUAGGCUUGGGACCGGGAGAGGUGGGAGGUACUCCAGGGGUAGGGGUGAAAUCUCGUAAUCCUUGGGGGACCACCGAUGGCGAAGGCAUCCCACCAGAACGGGUCCGACGGUGAGGGGCGAAAGCUGGGGGCACGAACCGGAUUAGAUACCCGGGUAGUCCCAGCCGUAAACGAUGCUCGCUAGGUGUCAGGUGCGGUGCGACCGCAUCUGGUGCCGCAGUGAAAACUUGAAGUGAGUCACCUGGGAAGUACGGUCGCAAGGCUGAAACUUAAAGGAAU
rnacentral:rRNA from 1 species